rnacentral:rRNA from 1 species
GCUGGCGGCAGGCCUAACACAUGCAAGUCGAACGGUAACAGGAAUCAGCUUGCUGAUUUGCUGACGAGUGGCGGACGGGUGAGUAAUGUCUGGGAAACUGCCUGAUGGAGGGGGAUAACUACUGGAAACGGUAGCUAAUACCGCAUAACGUCGCAAGACCAAAGAGGGGGACCUUCGGGCCUCUUGCCAUCGGAUGUGCCCAGAUGGGAUUAGCUAGUAGGUGGGGUAACGGCUCACCUAGGCGACGAUCCCUAGCUGGUCUGAGAGGAUGACCAGCCACACUGGAACUGAGACACGGUCCAGACUCCUACGGGAGGCAGCAGUGGGGAAUAUUGCACAAUGGGCGCAAGCCUGAUGCAGCCAUGCCGCGUGUAUGAAGAAGGCCUUCGGGUUGUAAAGUACUUUCAGCGGGGAGGAAGGGAGUAAAGUUAAUACCUUUGCUCAUUGACGUUACCCGCAGAAGAAGCACCGGCUAACUCCGUGCCAGCAGCCGCGGUAAUACGGAGGGUGCAAGCGUUAAUCGGAAUUACUGGGCGUAAAGCGCACGCAGGCGGUUUGUUAAGUCAGAUGUGAAAUCCCCGGGCUCAACCUGGGAACUGCAUCUGAUACUGGCAAGCUUGAGUCUCGUAGAGGGGGGUAGAAUUCCAGGUGUAGCGGUGAAAUGCGUAGAGAUCUGGAGGAAUACCGGUGGCGAAGGCGGCCCCCUGGACGAAGACUGACGCUCAGGUGCGAAAGCGUGGGGAGCAAACAGGAUUAGAUACCCUGGUAGUCCACGCCGUAAACGAUGUCGACUUGGAGGUUGUGCCCUUGAGGCGUGGCUUCCGGAGCUAACGCGUUAAGUCGACCGCCUGGGGAGUACGGCCGCAAGGUUAAAACUCAAAUGAAUUGACGGGGGCCCGCACAAGCGGUGGAGCAUGUGGUUUAAUUCGAUGCAACGCGAAGAACCUUACCUGGUCUUGACAUCCACGGAAGUUUUCAGAGAUGAGAAUGUGCCUUCGGGAACCGUGAGACAGGUGCUGCAUGGCUGUCGUCAGCUCGUGUUGUGAAAUGUUGGGUUAAGUCCCGCAACGAGCGCAACCCUUAUCCUUUGUUGCCAGCGGUCCGGCCGGGAACUCAAAGGAGACUGCCAGUGAUAAACUGGAGGAAGGUGGGGAUGACGUCAAGUCAUCAUGGCCC